rnacentral:rRNA from 1 species
CUGUUUAUCAAAAACAUGGCUUCCUGAAACAAAAUGAAAGGGGGUCGGACCUGCCCGGUGGACUACGGUUUAAACGGUUGCAGCUACCACUGUACUAAGGUAGCGCGAUAGGUUGUCCUUUAAUUGGGGAAAAGUAUGAAUGGUUUGACGUUGGAGAGACUUUAUUAAAGGUGUAGUAUGAAUUUUACUUUGGAGUGCAAAGGCUCUAAUGAGUUUAUUAGACGAGAAGACCCCAUCGAGCUUAGUUAUUAUUUUUCCGGUGGGAAAGUAAAAAGGUUUUAUCGGGGCAGAUAAGAAGAGAUUUAAUGUCUUCUAUAGUUAAUACAGAUCCAGCUAAGGCUGAAAAGAAGAAGAUAGUUACCGUGGGGAUAACAGCGCAAUACUUUUGAAGAGAUCUUAUUUAAGGAAGUGAUUGCGACCUCGAUGUUGAAUCAAGAUUUCUGCUAGGUGCAGCAGCUGAGUGAGUGGGACUGUUCGUCCUUUAAAAUCUUACGUGAUCUGAGUUCAGACC